UAACCAACUGAGCUACAGAGUCCAGUUGUCGAGCUCUAACCAACUGAGCUACAGAGUCCAGUUGUCAAGCUCUAACCAACUGAGCUACAGAGUCCAGUUGUCAAGCUCUAACCAACUGAGCUACAGAGUCCAGUUGUCGAGCUCUAACCAACUGAGCUACAGAGUCCAGUUGUCGAGCUCUAACCAACUGAGCUACAGAGUCCAGUUGUCGAGCUCUAACCAACUGAGCUACAGAGGACAGUUGUCGAGCUCUAACCAACUGAGCUACAAAGUCCAGUUGUCGAGCUCUAACCAACUGAGCUACAGAGUCCAGUUGUCGAGCUCUAACCAACUGAGCUACAGAGUCCAGUUGUCGAGCUCUAACCAACUGAGCUACAGAGUCCAGU